rnacentral:rRNA from 1 species
AUUGAACGCUGGCGGCAUGCCUUACACAUGUAAGUCGAACGGCAGCACGGGGCAACCUGGUGGCGAGUGGCGAACGGGUGAGUAAUGCAUCGGAACGUGCCAUUGAGUGGGGGAUAACGUAGCGAAAGUUGCGCUAAUACCGCAUAUUCUGUGAGCAGGAAAGCAGGGGACCGCAAGGCCUUGCGCUCUUUGAGCGGCCGAUGUCAGAUUAGCUAGUUGGUGAGGUAACGGCUUACCAAGGCGACGAUCUGUAGCGGGUCUGAGAGGAUGAUCCGCCACACUGGAACUGAGACACGGUCCAGACUCCUACGGGAGGCAGCAGUGGGGAAUUUUGGACAAUGGGCGCAAGCCUGAUCCAGCCAUGCCGCGUGAGUGAAGAAGGCCU